rfam:Talaromyces stipitatus ATCC 10500 scf_1105507295487 genomic scaffold, whole genome shotgun sequence.
GGGGGUGUAACUCAGUGGUAGAGUGUGAGAUUGCAGUAGAGAUUCGUCUUGAGAAAUAUCUUACAGUCACCGGUUCGAUCCCGGUCGCUCCCU